AAGUUUUGCUCAGCUCUUCCGCAUAUAUCAGAAAUAGAUCAUAGAACCAUAGAAUUGCUUGGGUUGGAAAGGAUCUGGCUGCAGGGAGUGCCUGAGCCUACUGCUGCCUGGGGAGGGUGGCAGGGAUUACACCUGUGUGAGGUGUGAGCAGGUGGAUGAGCUGCUCAGCCUGGUGGUGGAGCUCAAGGAGGAGGUGGAGAGACUAAGGACCAUCAGGAAGGUGUGAGCAGGAUAUUGACUGGUGGAGUGACUCGCUGAUGUGCCAGAGGGAAGGGUGCCAGGGAGAUACCCACAGAAAAGUGGUUGAGCCCCUGCCGUGUCACAGUCGGACAGACCUGACAGAUGAGGAGGAUUGAAAGAGAGUUCUGACUUGGCAUCACAGGAGCCCCUCCUGCCUGCCUACUCCACUUCCCCAGCUCCCACUAAGCUACAGGUUUGAGAUGCUGGAAAUUGAAGGAGAGGGGAGUGGCAAGGCGAUGGAGGAUCUGCCUAGGAGGGAGCCUAAGGCGAGGCAGUCACACCCAUGCCUUGAGACUGCCUCUGUCAGGAAAGAAAGAAAGGUGGUUGUGGUGGGCGACGCCCUUCUCAGAGGAACAGCCCCAUAUGCAGACCAGACUUGAGCCAUUGGUAAGUGUGCUGCCUUCUUGGGGCCCGGGUCAGGGACAUAAUUAGAAAACUCCCACAGCAGGUUAGGUCCAUGGAUUACUUUCUAUUACUCAUAGUUCAGGUGGGCAGUGAUGAAAUUGCUCAGAGAAGCCUACAAACUAUGAAGAGAGGUUUCAGGGGUUUAGGACGCUUAGUUCAAGGAGCAGGAUCACAAGUGAUCUUUUGUUCCAUACCUUCAGGGGCAGUGAGGGACAUGGAGCGGACUUGGAAAGUGCAAGUAAUGAAUAAUUGGCUCAGAGGCUGGUGUUGAGGCAGAAACUUUGGGUUCUUUGGUCAUGGGGCAGUUUACUUGCCCCCUGGCAUGUUGUCCAUGCAUGGAACCCACCUACCUCAAAGCAGGCAAUGAAUCUUAGCAGAGGAGCUAUCAGGGCUUAUCAAAAGAGCUUUAAACCAGUUACAACAGGGGAAGAGGACAAAACAGGGCUCACAAGUGAUGAGCCUAGGGGAACAAUGCUUGAGCUGGGGGUGAGGCAGAUGACUUGGCUGAAGUGCAUCUACACCAAUGCAUGCAUCAUGGACGACAAGCAGGAGGAGCUGGAAGCGACUGCGUGACACGCUAACUAUGACCUAGUUGCUAUUACUGAAACAUGGUGGGACCACUCCCAUGACUGGAGCGCUGUGAUGGAUGGCUACAAGCUCUUCAGAAGGGAUAGACGAGGAAGGAAAGGCGGUGGUGUGGCCCUUUAGAUCAAAGAGUGUUUUGAUGUUGAAGAGCUUUGGAUUGGGAAUGAUAAAGUUGAGUGUCUAUGGGUAAGGAUCAGGGGAAGGCCUGUAGGGGUGACAUCUUGGUGGGGGUCUGCUACAGACCACCUAAUCAGGAUGAAGAGAUGGAUGGGGCAUUCUAUGAGCAGCUUGCGGAAGUCGCACAAUCUCCAGCACUUGUUCUUGUGGGAGAGUUCAACUUCCCUGAUAUAUGUUGGAAAUAUAAUGCAGUGCAGAGGAAGCAGUCCAGGAGGUUUCUAGAGUGCAUGGAAGAUGAUAGCUUCCUUACGCAGCUGGUACGAGAGCCUACCAGGGGUGGUGCCCUGUUAGACCUGCUCUUCACUAACAGUGAAGGACUGCUGGGAGAUGUGAAGGCUGGGGACUGUCUUGGGCAGAGUGACCAUGAAACUGUAGAAUUCUCUAUUCUUGGAGAUGUCAGAAGGGUGACUAGCAAAACUGCUGUCUUGAACGUCCAGAGGGCAGACUUUGACCUGUUCAGGAUGCUUGUAGCACGGGUCCCUUGGGAGUUGCUCUUUAAGGGUGAAGGGGUCCAGUAAGCCUGGACGCUCCUCAAGAUGGAUAUCUUAAAGGCACAAGAACAGGCUGUCCCUGAGUGACGUAAGGCAAGCCGUAGGGAAAGAAGACCGGUGUGGAUGAGCCGUGAACUAUUGUUGAGACUUCGGAAGAAAAAGAGAGUUUAUGUCCUCUGGAGGAAGGGACAGGCGACUUGGGGAGAUUACAAGGAAGUUGCUAAGGUAUGCAGGGAGGAAGUUAGGAAGGCAAAAGCCUGACUUGAACUCAGAUUGGCCACUGCAGUAAAAGACAAUAAGAAAUCCUUUUACAAAUAUAUCAAUGGUAAGAGAAGAACCAAAGAGAAUUUCCAUCCUUUACUUGAUGCGGCGGGGAAUGUGACCACUGAGGAUAAGGAGAAGGCUGAGGUCCUCAGUGCUUUCUUUACAUCUGCCUUUAAUAGUCAGAUCAGUUAUCCUCAGGGCACUUUACACCCUGGUCUGGAAGUCUGGGAUGCCACGCAGAAUACACCCCCGGUGAUUCAGGUGGAGACAGUUAGAGAGCUCCUCCUCCAUCUGGACUGUCACAAGUCUGUGGGACCGGACGGGCUCCACCCUAGGGUGCUGAGGAAGUUGGCAGGGGUGAUUGCUGAGCUAUUCUCCGCCAUCUACCAGCGCUGCUGGUUAUCUGGAG
ensembl:lncRNA